ACAUUAUCUUCCCUUGCCUGCUAAAUGAAUUGCUGCAAUUCAAACGGUGCUUAUUUAAAAUGGGUCCAGGAUAGAGCACAAGGGCUGUGUUACUUUUUGAUGGAGCUGGAAGUUAUUAAAGGCAGGGAUGCAAAGCUAGCAAAACCCAAUGAGCUCCCCUUCUUUUGCACUGCGUGAGAUCGGGUACCAAAGAAAAACUAACACAGACGUACCAGGAGGCUUUGGCUUUGUACGGCAGAAAGCCAGGCUAGCAACAGUGAAACACCCACAGCAUCUAUGAAAUCUCUGAAAAGCAGAUUCUGUUUUCAUAAUAACACGAUACGUAUCACUGCGUGUGCCAGCUGCUGCCUUCCACAUUACAGAUGCUGUAAAGGAAAUUGUGUCUCUACGUCUCAAGUAAAACGGGGCUCACAAGACGAGGCGGCGCGCGGAACGAAGCCAUCGACGGCAGCUGACACACCGGAUGCCCCGCUGUUUGAUGCAGGUUCCCCAGCUGGCUGCUACGAUGGUGUGGAAAAACGAGAAAAGGCAAGAGACAGGAAAGAUUCAUCUGUCGAGGAGAAGUUGGAUAUAUCUACAGACGUCUAACGUCGAAUCUGAGACACUUUCCGUCUCAUGACUGUUCAAAAAAAAUUUUUUAAAAUAUAACUUAACACCAUG